rnacentral:rRNA from 1 species
UACGGGGGGGGCAAGCGUUGUUCGGAAUUACUGGGCGUAAAGGGCUCGUAGGCGGCCAACUAAGUCCGACGUGAAAUCCCAAGGCUUAACCUUGGAACUGCGUCGGAUACUGGAUGGCUUGAAUUCGGGAGAGGGAUGCAGAAUUCCAGGUGUAGCGGUGAAAUGCGUAGAUAUCUGGAGGAAUACCGGUGGCGAAGGCGGGUCUCUGGGCCGUAACUGACGCUGAGGAGCGAAAGCAUGGGGAGCGAACAGG